rnacentral:rRNA from 1 species
GCAUGGUAUUGGUUUCUCACCAGGCCAUAAAGGAAUAAUAUUAUGAGAACUAGGGUUACAGGCCGCUAUAAGAAUUUAAGGGUCAGUGCUUGGGACCUUGAUGUUAUGGGUAGAAAUAGGUGCUAGGGGCCACCCUAAGAAUCAUGGGCUAGUGAGUUGAUGGGAGUUGGGUUCCUUCCCAUCGAGGUAUGACUGUACGGGGUCAGAGACAGGAAAGGCUCAUGAGUAUGCAAAUUGAAGGAUCAACAUUGAGUUGUCCAUGGGAAAAUUGAUUUGUGAAAGUUUGACCUUAACUAUGAGUAGUCUUGGUGCGACACAGACAUGUAGUUUUGGUCUAAAGAAUGCAUAGUUCAUGAUAGGGAGCUUGAGAAAUGGCUACCACAUCCAAGGAAGGCAGUAGGCACACAUAUUAAAUAACAAUACUUGGCUCUAUGGUAAUUAGAAUGAACACAAUCUAAAUCCCUUAACGUGGAUCCAUUAGAAGGCAGGUCUAGUGCCAGUAGCCAUAGUAAUUCUAGCUCCAAUAGCAUAUACUCAAGUUGUUGCAAUUAAAAAGCUCAUAGUUAGAACUAGGAUCGGGUUGUCUAAUUUGCCUCAAAGUGAGCAUUGGCCUGCUCAUCCCUACUAUUGGCGAUGCAUUCCAAGCCUUAAUUGGCUAGCUCGUUCCUCUAGCAUUGUUACUUUAAAGAAAAUAAAGUGCUCAAAGUCAGCCUACACUUGUAUACAUUAGCAUGGGAUAACAUCAUAGGAUUUCGAUCCUAUUGUGUUUAUCUUUGGGAUUGGAGUAAUGAUUAACAGAGACAGUUGGGGGCAUUCGUAUUUCAUAGUCAGAGGUGAAAUUCUUCGAUUUAUGAAAGAUGAACAGCUAUGAAGCAUUUGCCAAGGAUGUUUUCAUUAAUCAAGAAUGAAAGUUGGGGGCUGAAGAUUAUUAGAUAACAUCCUAGUCUCAACCAUAAAUGAUGUUGACUAGGGAUCUACAAAUGUUACUUUUAAGACUCUGUUGGUGCCUUGUGAGAAAUCAAAAUCUUCAGGUUCUAGGGGGAGUAUGGUCGCAAGGCUAAAACUUAAAGGAAUUGAUGGAAGGGCACCACCAGGAGUGGAGCCUACAGCUUAAUUUGACUUAAUAUGGGAAAACUUACUGGGUCCAAACAUAGUAAGGAUUGAGAGAAACUGAGAGCUCUUUCUUGAUUCUAUAGGUGGUGGUGCAUGGCCAUUUUUAGUUGGUGGAGUGACUUGUCUAGUUAAUUUCAUUAGCAAAUGAAUCAUUAGCCUGCUAACUAGCUACUCGGAGGUGAUCUUUCAUGGCUAACUUUUAAAGGGACUUGGCUACUUAAGCAAAUGAAGUUUGAGGUAAUAGUAGGUCUGUGAUGCCCUUAGAUGUUUUGGGCCACACCACGCUACACUACUAUAUUCAACAAGUUUAUAGCCAUGGUCAAUAGGCCUAGGUAAUCUUUGAAAUUUCAUUAUGAUAGAGAUAAUCAUUGUAAUUUUUGGUCUUCAAUGAGGAAUUCCUAGUAAGUGCGAGUCAUCAGCUCGCAUUAACUACAUCCCUGCCCUUUGUACACACACCUAUCACUUCUAUUGAUUGAAUGGUCAGUGAAGUGUUUGGAUCAUGGUAAUGUGGAUGGUUCAUUGCCUAUGACAUCAUGAGAAGUCCACUGAACCUUAUAAUUUAUAGGAAGGAAAAGUUAUAACAAGGUUUUCAUAGGUGAACCUAUGUAAG